rnacentral:rRNA from 1 species
AUUGAACGCUGGCGGCAGGCCUAACACAUGCAAGUCGAACGAGUGGCGGACGGGUGAGUAAUGUCUGGGAAACUGCCCGAUGGCGUGGGAUAACUACUGGAAACGGUAGCUAAUACCGCAUACCAUCGGAUGUGCCCAGAUGGGAUUAGCUAGUAGGUGGGGUAAGGGCUCACCUAGGCUACGAUCCCUAGCUGGUCUGAGCGGAUGACCAGCAACACUGGAACUGCGACACGGUCCAGACUCCUACGGGAGGCAGCAGUGGGGAAUAUUGCACAAUGGGCGCAAGCCUGAUGCAGCCAUGCCGCGUGUAUGAAGAAGGCCUUCGGGUUGUAAAGUACUUUCAGCGGGGAGGCGUUACCCGCAGAAGAAGCACCGGCUAACUCCGUGCCAGCCGCCGCGGUAAUAC